UUUCCGUAGGUGAACCUGCGGAAGGAUCAUUAAUGAGUUGUCAUGGGGUUCGAUGCUGGCAGCCAAUUUUUGGAUGCAUGUGCUUGCCCUAACAAUCAUCUUCCAAACACCUGUGCACAUUUUUGAGGGAGUCUUGAGUUGGUUGCCGUUCUUGGGUGAUUUUCUCACAUUCCCUUAAAUCAUUAUACGCUAUUAACAAUGUUGAACGUGCUCUGUGCCGCAAGGCUAUUAAUAUAAUACAACUUUUAACAACGGAUCUCUUGGCUCUU
rnacentral:misc_RNA from 1 species